rnacentral:tRNA from 1 species
GAUUAUUUAGUGAAGUUCACUUCAUUAUUUCAUGAUGAAAAUGUUAUUUAGUCC